GGCAUAUCAAUAAGCGGAGGAAAAGAAACCAACAGGGAUUGCCCCAGUAACGGCGAGUGAAGCGGCAACAGCUCAAAUUUGAAAUCUGGUCCCUAGGGCCCGAGUUGUAAUUUGUAGAGGAUGCUUUUGGUGAGGUGCCGCCCGAGUUCCCUGGAACGGGACGCCACAGAGGGUGAGAGCCCCGUCUGGCUGGCCGCCGAGCCUCUGUAAAGCUCCUUCGACGAGUCGAGUAGUUUGGGAAUGCUGCUCAAAAUGGGAGGUAUAUGUCUUCUAAAGCUAAAUAUUGGCCAGAGACCGAUAGCGCACAAGUAGAGUGAUCGAAAGAUGAAAAGCACCUUGAAAAGAGGGUUAAAUAGUACGUGAAAUUGUUGAAAGGGAAGCGCUUGUGACCAGACUUGGGCGCGGCGGAUCAUCCGGGGUUCUCUCCGGUGCACUUCGCCGCGUCUAGGCCAGCAUCAGUUCGUCGCGGGGGAAAAAGGCUUCGGGAACGUGGCUCCUCCGGGAGUGUUAUAGCCCGUUGCAUAAUACCCUGCGGUGGACUGAGGACCGCGCAUCUGCAAGGAUGCUGGCGUAAUGGUCACCAGCGACCCGUCUUGAAACACGGACCAAGGAGUCGUCUUCGUAUGCGAGUGUUCGGGUGUCAAACCCCUACGCGUAAUGAAAGUGAACGCAGGUGAGAGCUUCGGCGCAUCAUCGACCGAUCCUGAUGUUCUCGGAUGGAUUUGAGUAAGAGCAUACGGGGCCGGACCCGAAAGAAGGUGAACUAUGCCUGUAUAGGGUGAAGCCAGAGGAAACUCUGGUGGAGGCUCGCAGCGGUUCUGACGUGCAAAUCGAUCGUCAAAUAUGGGCAUGGGGGCGAAAGACUAAUCGAACCUUCUAGUAGCUGGUUUCCGCCGAAGU
rnacentral:rRNA from 1 species